CAGGACGGGAUUGUAUUUCUUCCCCCACCCCCCCUUAUUUGUAAUUUCAGGAGCGUGAUCUCGUUCCCAUCGUGGAGAUGCAGCGGAAUGGCUUGCGUGACUCGAAUGCUGUUGUGGAUGUUCUGUUCUCUUCAGGAGAGACAGACAGGUGAAGGAGGAGCCAAUGAGGAGAGAAAUGCUGGCGGAGCUCUUACUCUGUAUUGAGGAAGGACUGACUGGGGAUGCAAAGACCGAGGGGACCUGAAGCGCAACAGCUGUGAGAUGGUGGAGUUUGGAAUCUCAGUCAGAAGAUGCAAAGCAAUAAGUAGGUUUGAAACACCAGACUUUGAGGGAGCAACUUUGUCCUCUUAAAGGAUCUGCCUGGAGGUAUCUGUUGGGUUGCAGCAUCAGAAGGGGUCCUGCUAGUGGUUCUUGAUUCAUGCAUUACUGCUUCUGUGCUCAGUAGGGUGCAUGCCUGAGAGUAAGAAAUGGAGCAGGAAAGGCAGGAGACCUGCAGGAGCAAAUGAGGAGGUCACAGAUAAACUUGAAGAAGAAAAGGAAGGCUAAGGCCCCCUUAGUAUCACCUUUGUGGAGGAAGGUGAAGGCUAACAGGCAAGGUGCCUGAGGACUCGUGGGUAGCCAGCAUCACUGCAGCCUUCAGAAAGGGUGAGAAGGAGGGCCUGCGCAACUGUAGGCUGUUCAGGAUCACCUCCCUCCCUGGCACUGAAAUGGGACAGCUUGUUCUGGAUGUCAUCUCUAAGGAGCGGUCAUGGUGG
rnacentral:lncRNA from 1 species